CAGUCGCCGCGGGAAUACGAAGGGUGCAAGCGUUACUCGGAAUUACUGGCGUAAAGCGUGCGUAGGUGGUGGUUUAAGUCCGUUGUGAAAGCCCUGGGCUCAACCUGGGAAUUGCAGUGGAUACUGGGUCACUAGAGUGUGGUAGAGGAUAGUGGAAUUUCCGGUGUAGCAGUGAAAUGCGUAGAGAUCGGAAGGAACAUCUGUGGCGAAGGCGACUAUCUGGGCCAACACUGACACUGAGGCACGAAAGCGUGGGGAGCAAACAGGAUUAGAUACCCCUGUAGUCCCUGUCUCUUAUACA
rnacentral:rRNA from 1 species